rnacentral:rRNA from 1 species
GACGUAGGGCGCAAGCGUUGUCCGGAAUUAUUGGGCGUAAAGAGCUCGUAGGCGGCUUGUUGCGUCGACUGUGAAAACCCGUGGCUCAACCAUGUGGUCUGCAGUCGAUACGGGCAGGCUAGAAUUCGGUAGGGGAGACUGGAAUUCCUGGUGUAGCGGUGGAAUGCGCAGGUAUAUAGGAGGAACACCGGUGGCGAAGGCGGGUCUCUGGGCAGUAACUGACGCUGGAGGAGCGAAAGCGUGGGGAGCGAACAGG